AUUGAACGCUGGCGGCAGGCCUAACACAUGCAAGUCGAGCGGCAGCGGAAAGUAGCUUGCUACUUUGCCGGCGAGCGGCGGACGGGUGAGUAAUGUCUGGGAAACUGCCUGAUGGAGGGGGAUCACUACUGGAAACGGUAGCUAAUACCACAUAACGUCGCAAGACCAAAGAGGGGGACCUUCGGGCCUCUUGCCAUCAGAUCUGCCCAGAUGGGAUUAGCUAGUAGGUGGGGUAACGGCUCACCUAGGCGACGAUCCCUAGCUGGUCUGAGAGGAUGACCAGCCACACUGGAACUGAGACACGGUCCAGACUCCUACGGGAGGCAGCAGUGGGGAAUAUUGCACAAUGGGCGCAAGCCCGAUGCAGCCAUGCCGCGUGUAUGAAGAAGGCCUUCGGGUUGUAAAGUACUUUCAGCGGGGAGGAAGGUGUUGAGGCUAAUAACCUCAGCAAUUGACGUUACCCGCAGAAGAAGCACCGGCUAACUCCGUGCCAGCCGCCGCGGUAAAAC
rnacentral:rRNA from 1 species